GGGGGGGGGGGGGGCGGCUCCUAUGCCCUUUGUGAGCCUCCUCCAAGAGUUCUCGAAUGAGAUCAGGGUCUGGGACUGUCAUCUUUCUCAAGCUCUCAGUCUUUUUUUUUUUUUAAUGUUUAUUUUUGAGAGAGAGCGUGCAAGUGGGGGAGGACUGAGAGAGAAGAUCUGAGGCCGGCUCCGUGCUGACAGCAGAGAGCCUGAUGCCGGGCUCCAACUUGUGGGCCGCCAGACCAUGACCUGAGCAGAAGCCAGAGGCUUAACCGACUGCGCCACCCAGGCGCCCUCAAGCUUUCAGUCUUGGAUCACAGAGGUGGAUAACGUCUCUGUGAUCCGCCCACGUUGUUGCAUGCGUCAAUCGGUACUUGGAUCCUUUUUAUCGCUGAGGAGUAUUCCAUCGAGCAGAUAAACCACAAUCUGUUUAUCCACUCACCAUGAUGGGACAUCGGGCUCUUUCCCGUUUGGGGCUGUUAUGAAUAAAGCUGCAAUGAACAUUCA